CCUACGGGUGGCAGCAGUGAGGAAUAUUGGUCAAUGGUCGGGAGCCUGAACCAGCCAAGUCGCGUGAGGGAUGACGGUACUGUGUAUCGUAAACCUCUUUUGUCAGGGAACAAAGGCGGGGACGUGUCCCCGGAUGAGUGUACCUGAAGAAAAAGCAUCGGCUAACUCCGUGCCAGCAGCCGCGGUAAUACGGAGGAUGCGAGCGUUAUCCGGAUUUAUUGGGUUUAAAGGGUGCGCAGGCGGUUCGUUAAGUCAGCGGUAAAAUGCGGGGGCUCAACCCCGGCCCGCCGUUGAAACUGGCAGUCUUGAGUGGGAGAGAGGUAUGCGGAAUGCGCGGUGUAGCGGUGAAAUGCAUAGAUAUCGCGCAGAACUCCGAUUGCGAAGGCAGCAUACCGGCGCCAGACUGACGCUGAGGCACGAAAGCGUGGGUAUCGAACAGGAUUAGAUACCCGGGUAGUC
rnacentral:rRNA from 1 species